CUCUUCCACUAACCUGGCAACACUGAUCUACGUAUUAUUUCAGUGUCUGCGGAAUGUCGACUAAACCACUCGCCAACGGAGUGCAUUUGUUUAUUUAGUGUAAUUGUGUAAUAUUGCGAUAUGGAAGGGGACGCGAAUAAUGCAGCACCUGAUGCCGUCGUUGGAGAAGUCAUUCAUAAUGGUAUCAGAAUAGGUGCAGGUGUCGCUAGGCCGGUUCAGCGAGUGGUCGGUGCAGCGACCGGCACGGCUGUGGGAGCGGCCGUGGGUGGGCUGUCCGGCGGCCCGGCGGGCGCCGUCGUCGGCGGCGUUGUCGGAUACUUCGUCAGCCGUCAAGCCGUCAGGGAUGACCAUCAGGAUUAACGAGCAGACGAGACUACGACACAUACGUACGGAAUGUCAAACAGAAUUAUAUAAAUAUAUACAUGCAUAGAGAUAAAGAACGAUAAGCGUGACCAUCUGUUGCUUUGAACUACUUAAUAAAUAAAGUGAUUAUAUUGAAACAGUGUAAUUUGAAUAAAUGUAUACUUCAAUCGA